CGCUGGCGGCGUGCCUAAUACAUGCAAGUCGAACGGUCUUUCUAUGGAAGCUUGCUUCCACUGAGAAGAUAGUGGCGAACGGGUGAGUAACACGUGGGUAACCUGCCCAUAAGAGGGGGAUAACAUCCGGAAACGGGUGCUAAUACCGCAUAGUUUUCUUGAUCGCAUGAUCGGGAAAGGAAAGACGGCCUUUGUGCUGUCGCUUAUGGAUGGACCCGCGGCGUAUUAGUUAGUUGGUGAGGUAACGGCUCACCAAGACGAUGAUACGUAGCCGACCUGAGAGGUGAUCGGCCACAUUGGGACUGAGACACGGCCCAAACUCCUACGGGAGGCAGCAGUAGGGAAUCUUCCGCAAUGGACGAAAGUCUGACGGAGCAACGCCGCGUGAGUGAAAGAAGGUUUUCGGAUCGUAAAACUCUGUUGUCAGAGAAGAACAAGUUGGAGAGUAACUGCUCCAGCCUUGACGGUAUCUGACCAGAAAGCCACGGCUAACUACGUGCCAGCCGCCGC
rnacentral:rRNA from 1 species